rnacentral:tRNA from 1 species
GCCAACGUGGCGCAAUCGGUAGCGCAUUAGACUUUUAAUCUAAGGGUUGCGGGUUCGAGCCCCGCCGUCGGCU